AUGCAAGGCGCCGUCUUAGCCUUGCCUUCCCAGGAUCGCUCCCACACCUGUCACGUUCAUGAUCGGCCUCCUCAACUGUGUAUCGAUCGAAAGGCAGGGCGGCAGAGCCCCCAACCGACGGGACAUCGUGAACGAACUGGCCUCUCAAUCCUGAUGGUGGUACCCAUUCUGCUAGUGCAGAGACAGGGUGUGGGCCCCCUGUCCUAUUUCUUUUGCUCAUAA
rnacentral:rRNA from 1 species